rnacentral:rRNA from 1 species
GCGAAAAGCGAUAAGUUAUCCACCUGGGGGAGUACGCCGGCAACGGUGAAACUCAAAGGAAUUGACGGGGGCCCGCACAAGCGGAGGAGCAUGUGGUUUAAUUCGAUGAUACGCGAGGAACCUUACCAGGGCUUGAAAGUUAAGGAAUGAUUAUGAAAGUAGUCAGUCAGCAAUGACCUAAAACUAGGUGCUGCAUGGCUGUCGUCAGCUCGUGCCGUGAGGUGUUGGGGUUAAGUCCCCGCAACGAGCGCAACCCCUACUUCUAGUUGCUACCAUUAAGUUGAGGACUCUAGAGGAACUGCCCGUGCAAACGGAGAGGAAGGUGGGGAUGACGUCAAGUCAUCACGGCCCUUACGUCCUGGGCUACACACGUGCUACAAUGGGUACUACAGAGGGCAGCUACACAGUAAUGUGAUGCAAAUCUCGAAAGGUAUCCUCAGUUCGGAUUGAGGUCUGCAACUCGACCUCAUGAAGCUGGAUUCGCUAGUAAUCGCGCAUCAGCAAUGGCGCGG